rnacentral:rRNA from 1 species
CCGCGCGCUAAAAGCAGUGUUUAUACUGCGCCUCGCUUAUAAAGCAGAACCUCCCCCUCUCCUAGUCUCGUCUCCCACAAGCCGCAAACCCAUCUUCCCCUAGCCCAAGCAAACCGCACACGCCACCAUGUUCCUCACGAGGACGGAGUACGACCGCGGCGUGAACACCUUUUCGCCGGAGGGACGCCUAUUCCAGGUCGAGUACGCCAUCGAGGCCAUCAAGGU